GUUUCUAAAGUGUAAUCAUUUAAUAUUUUCACUAUUAAGAUGCAAUAAUUUGCUAGAAGUA
rnacentral:tRNA from 1 species